ensembl:lncRNA
CUUAAAGGCUGAACACUCAUUUAACAAAGGCGCAGGAGCGUGAGCGGAGACGGCGACCAAGGGCUUGGCCAGAGCUUUCCCUACAGAGGGCACCUUUGGGAUGGGCAAGCGCUUGUCAGCGCCCCGAGCUCGAGGGCUGCCUGCAUCCAACGUGUCUCCUGGUCGGCCACUGACCGCUGGGAAAGCCUCUAUGCUUUCCAGUAAAACUAAAUUAACCAACAAAGCAAACAGAGACGAGCAAACCAGGAACUAGGUGUCGACAGAUCUGCUGAAAGGGUCAAAACAUGCAGUCAUCUCUUGGGCAAAUCCCCAGUGGGCUUCAGUGUGACUUAACUAAGGACCAUUGAGCCCUGCAAGCUCUGGCAUUGCAUCGUUCUCCUCUGCUUUCCCUUUGCAGCACAUGCAGGAGUUGAGCUUGGGCUCAGUUGCUCCGCGGCCCCCUCUGCUCCAAGGAGAAAGAGGGCACGGUCCCGGCCUUCGGGACUGGGAAUCCAUCGUGCUGGUAACACGAGAAGCAGCGCAUAUUUUAAUCCCAUUAAAAUUUUGCUAAUUGCUGACAGCUAUUUUUUGGGCAGCACAGACGUCCUUUCAUGUUCACUAUUUCCUCUAUUGCAUUGACAGGGAUAUAUUCAGAUGACACAUCUGCGACAGCCUGCACUUAUUUAAGUACACCUGCAGCCGCAUCCAGCUACCAUAGCAACCGGAUUUGGGGAGAGCUUGCUGGGCACAAAUUCCAGUUUGUGCCUCCAGCUCCCAGCCCUGCCGUACGGGGAGGUGCACGUACCUGUGCUGGGAGAGAGAGGUGCCACAUCCAGGGUGUCAUCUACACCUGCUACUUUGGGUAGAUGAGAGCCACCAGAAUUUGGUUCACAGGGAAACCUGCCAACAUUGAUUAUCCUGGGAGAAGAGCACUUGACCCACUUUUUAAGCCUGUCUCAAUCCAGUGCUGCUUUGCAGGAAGAGCUUGCAAGAAUUUGGGAAUGAGCAACAUGAUUUGUUUCUACAAAUAUCUCCUUGCUAGAACUGUACACGCCAUGCAGAGCUGCAGACGGAGACCUGCCUGUGUUUCACCAACAGCCCAGAACAGCAAGAUCAAAAAGGGAAGAGGAGGAGCCAGCACGGGCGAAGCAGAGGGACCGACAGGUGUAAAACCCCCGUGCCGUGGUCCCAGCGCACUUGCAAAAAGCAACUGUUUUCCAGCCGGUUUUGCUGCUGAAUAAACGCAGCCACCAAAGGCGUGUUUCCCCUUGGCCCAGAGGGAAGCGUUUUUGCAAUUUCUUGCUAGAAACUCUCUAAACGCAUCGCUUCCCUGAAUCCCCGCGGAGAUGUUUCCGCACACAGAAACUGUUGGGCUGCUACAUGUGAAUACAAACUACUGAUUUUUUCUUUUAGCUGCCACCUGGUUCACCUGCCCAAGGAGAGCCACAGGGAGGAGGGUCGGGGCCGUUUCGCCACGCCGCCAGCUUCGCCGACGCCUACAAAGCCGUCCCGUCUCCUCGCUCCCCGUGCGGGGAGCAGCAACCACGGCCAACAGACGAAAGCACAAGCGGCAUCAUUUUUGUGCUGUAAAUAGCGG